CUGUCAGAUUGAACGCUGGCGGCAGGCUUAACACAUGCAAGUCGAGCGGGGGAAGGUAGCUUGCUACCGGACCUAGCGGCGGACGGGUGAGUAAUGCUUAGGAAUCUGCCUAUUAGUGGGGGACAACAUCUCGAAAGGGAUGCUAAUACCGCAUACGUCCUACGGGAGAAAGCAGGGGAUCUUCGGACCUUGCGCUAAUAGAUGAGCCUAAGUCGGAUUAGCUAGUUGGUGGGGUAAAGGCCUACCAAGGCGACGAUCUGUAGCGGGUCUGAGAGGAUGAUCCGCCACACUGGGACUGAGACACGGCCCAGACUCCUACGGGAGGCAGCAGUGGGGAAUAUUGGACAAUGGGGGGAACCCUGAUCCAGCCAUGCCGCGUGUGUGAAGAAGGCCUUAUGGUUGUAAAGCACUUUAAGCGAGGAGGAGGCUACUUUAGUUAAUACCUAGAGAUAGUGGACGUUACUCGCAGAAUAAGCACCGGCUAACUCUGUGCCAGCAGCCGCGGUAAUACAGAGGGUGCGAGCGUUAAUCGGAUUUACUGGGCGUAAAGCGUGCGUAGGCGGCUUAUUAAGUCGGAUGUGAAAUCCCCGAGCUUAACUUGGGAAUUGCAUUCGAUACUGGUGAGCUAGAGUAUGGGAGAGGAUGGUAGAAUUCCAGGUGUAGCGGUGAAAUGCGUAGAGAUCUGGAGGAAUACCGAUGGCGAAGGCAGCCAUCUGGCCUAAUACUGACGCUGAGGUACGAAAGCAUGGGGAGCAAACAGGAUUAGAUACCCUGGUAGUCCAUGCCGUAAACGAUGUCUACUAGCCGUUGGGGCCUUUGAGGCUUUAGUGGCGCAGCUAACGCGAUAAGUAGACCGCUGG
rnacentral:rRNA from 1 species